GGAUGUGAGGGCGAUCUGGCUGCGACAUCUGUCACCCCAUUGAUCACCAGGGUUGAUUCGGCUGAUCUGGUGGGCUAGGCGGGUGUCCCCUUCUUCCCUCACCGCUCCAUGUGCGUCCCUCCCAGAGCUGCACGAAGAGGCCGACCAUCCCCGAGAGGAGGACCGUUCUUUCUUCGGUCAAGGGUAUACGAGUAGCUGUGCUCCCCUGCUAUAACCUCCAAACAAGCUCUCAAGGUCCAUUUGUGGGAGAAGGUAGGGUAGUUAAGUUUCCAAGACUCCAGACACAUCCAAAUGAGGUGCUGCACGUGGCAGUCUGCCUUU
rnacentral:snRNA from 1 species